rnacentral:miRNA from 1 species
AAGGAAGGAAGGAAGGAAGGAAGGAAGGAAGAAGCAAAGAUAGGAUUAGCAUUAUCUUCCUUCCUUCCUUCCUUCCUUCCUUCCUUCCUUCCUUCCUUCCU